rnacentral:rRNA from 1 species
UACGAGGGGUCCUAGCGUUGUUCGGAAUCAUUGGGCGUAAAGAGCUCGUAGGUGGCUUAGUAAGUCAGGCGUGAAAGCCCAGGGCUCAACCCUGGAAGUGCACUUGAAACUGCAUAGCUUGAGUACGGUAGAGGUGAGUGGAAUUCCUGGUGUAGUGGUAAAAUACGUAGAUAUCUGGAGGAACACCGGUGGCGAAGGCGGCAUCCUGGACCAACACUGACGCUGAGGAGCGAAAGCCAGGGGAGCAAACGGG